CCUACGGGAGGCAGCAGUGGGGAAUAUUGCACAAUGGGGGGAACCCUGAUGCAGCAACGCCGCGUGGGUGAAGAAGUACUCCGGUAUGUAAAGCCCUGUCAGCAGGGAAGAAAAUGACGGUACCUGACCAAGAAGCCCCGGCUAACUACGUGCCAGCAGCCGCGGUAAUACGUAGGGGGCAAGCGUAUCCGGAUUUACUGGGUGUAAAGGGAGCGUAGACGGCGAUGCAAGUCUGAAGUGAAAGGCGGGGGCCCAACCCCCGGACUGCUUUGGAAACUGUAUGGCUGGAGUGCAGGAGAGGUAAGUGGAAUUCCUAGUGUAGCGGUGAAAUGCGUAGAUAUUAGGAGGAACACCAGUGGCGAAGGCGGCUUACUGGACUGUAACUGACGUUGAGGCUCUAAAGCGUGGGGAGCAAACAGGAUUAGAUACCCGGGUAGUC
rnacentral:rRNA from 1 species